rnacentral:rRNA from 1 species
CCUACGGGGGGCAGCAGUGGGGAAUAUUGCACAAUGGGGGGAACCCUGAUGCAGCGACGCCGCGUGAGUGAAGAAGUAUUUCGGUAUGUAAAGCUCUAUCAGCAGGGAAGAAAAUGACGGUACCUGACUAAGUAGCCCCGGCUAAAUACGUGCCAGCAGCCUCGGUAAUACGUAGGGGGCAAGCGUUAACCGGAUUUACUGGGUGUAACGGGAGCGUAGACGGUUAUGCAAGUCUGAAGUGAAAGCCCAAGGCUCAACCAUGGGACUGCUUUGGAAACUGUAAAACUGGAGUGCAGGAGAGGGGAGCAGAAUUCCAAGUGUAGCGGUGAAAUGCGUAGAGAUUAGGAGGAAUACCAGUGGCGAAGGCGGCUUACUGGACGGUAACUGACGUUGAGGCUCGAAAGCGUGGGGAGCAAACAGGAUUAGAUACCCCUGUAGUC